rnacentral:rRNA from 1 species
GACGAACGCUGGCGGCGUGCUUAACACAUGCAAGUCGAGCGGUAAGGCCCUUUCGGGGGUACACGAGCGGCGAACGGGUGAGUAACACGUGGGUGACCUGCCCUCAGCUCUGGGAUAAGCCUGGGAAACUGGGUCUAAUACCGGAUAUGACUCCAUGACGCAUGUUGUGGGGUGGAAAGCCUUGUGCGGCUGAGGAUGGGCCCGCGGCCUAUCAGCUUGUUGGUGGGGNGAUGGCCUACCAAGGCGACGACGGGUAGCCGGCCUGAGAGGGCGACCGGCCACACUGGGACUGAGACACGG